rnacentral:rRNA from 1 species
UAUUUAUUAGAUAAAAAACCAACGCCCUUCGGGGCUCCUUGGUGAAUCAUAAUAACUUAACGAAUCGCAUGGCCUUGCACCGGCGAUGGUUCAUUCAAAUUUCUGCCCUAUCAACUUUCGAUGGUAGGAUAGUGGCCUACCAUGGUGGCAACGGGUAACGGGGAAUUAGGGUUCGAUUCCGGAGAGGGAGCCUGARAAACGGCUACCACAUCCAAGGAAGGCAGCAGGCGCGCAAAUUACCCAAUCCCGAUACGGGGAGGUAGUGACAAUAAAUACUGAUACGGGGCUCUUUUGGGUCUCGUAAUUGGAAUGAGAACAAUUUAAAUCCCUUAACGAGGAACAAUUGGAGGGCAAGUCUGGUGCCAGCAGCCGCGGUAAUUCCAGCUCCAAUAGCGUAUAUUAAAGUUGUUGCAGUUAAAAAGCUCGUAGUUGAACCUUGGGUCUGGCUGGCCGGUCCGCCUCACCGCGAGUACUGGUCCGGCUGGACCUUUCCUUCUGGGGAACCUCAUGGCCUUCACUGGCUGUGGGGGGAACCAGGACUUUUACUGUGAAAAAAUUAGAGUGUUCAAAGCAGGC